rnacentral:rRNA from 1 species
GACGAACGCUGGCGGCGUGCUUAAUACAUGCAAGUCGAGCGAGGUCCAUCUGGUGGCAACACCAGUGAAGGCCGAGCGGCGAACGGGUGAGUAACACGUGAGCAACCUGCCCCGAAGUCUGGAAUAACAUCGGGAAACCGGUGCUAAUACCGGAUCGCCCCACCUGACCGCAUGAUCGGGUGAGGAAAGAUUUAUCGCUUCGGGAGGGGCUCGCGGCCUAUCAGCAGUUGGUGGGGUAACGGCCUACCAAGGCGUCGACGGGUAGCUGGUCUGAGAGGACGACCAGCCACACUGGGACUGAGACACGGCCCAGACUCCUACGGGAGGCAGCAGUAGGGAAUCUUGCGCAAUGGG